GCAGCCGCGGUAAUUCCAGCUCCAAUAGCGUAUACUAAAGUUGUUGCAGUUAAAAAGCUCGUAGUUGAAUUUCUGGUCUCGGACAGCGGUCUGCCUCAACCGAGGGGUAUGUGAUCCUCGUCAUUUACUGUGAGCAAAAUAGAGUGUUCAAAGCAGGCUUAUGCCGUU
rnacentral:rRNA from 14 species